UGUUUGAGGUGGCUGCCGGGCUGCCGCCAAGCCGGUUCAGAGACCGCCGCUCUUUCGGUUCAGCCGUUCCUUCUUCGUUCGAGUGGUUGUGGUUGCUGAGAAAGCGGGUUGGAGCUGAGGUUUUGACUGCAGUCGAUUCGGGUCAAUACGAAAGGAGUCAGUUAGCGAGUUUGGGUUGUGAUUUCAACGUAUCGAGGUUAUUCCUUUUCAGGAUAUGGAAGACGAAGCUUCAGGAGAGUUAUGUUUAUUUUCUGUUUAUUCGGUCUUUUUGUAUCACCGUAGCUAUUAUUUUU